UCACGUAAGUUUCUUCAAAUCGCCAUCUCUCUUCUUUCCCAUUUUUAUUUCAUCUUCCAUACACGCUCAUUAUUCACAUUCAUCUUCCACCGCUUUCUCUCUCAUCUUAUUUCUCUAUGUUCUCUCAAUUGACCUCAUUCUGCUUUCAUCGUUCAAUAGGAAACCCUAGCAUUACACACUACACAUCAGAUCCUCUUCGUUCAUCCUAUUGAAAUUGACCGAUAAUUCUUUUGGGUCGACAAUUCCCUAUCUUCAAGAUUUGGAAUCAAGUGAUGGAGUCGCAGAUUAUUGACAGCUAGGAUUGCUUCUGCUACGUUGACUAUCGUAAUUUCCACUUAGCGUCGUUACACAAACAACAACAACAAGCCCUAAGGCUAUCAUCUGGUUUUUUUCAUUACUUACGGAUUGAGUUUAAUCUUAGGAUUUUGUGGGUUUCUACGUAUUGGAUCUUUUUACUGCUCCCACGCAAAAAUGUCGUCUCCAUCAAGGUGAUUUUGUAUGGGGCUGAUCAAAGAGAGUUUAUCGCAUCUGGAAAACCUCUACUUUCAUAGGGCUAAGCAACCAUACGCUCUCCUUUUGUCCCAAUCUUUGCUUUAUCGUAAACUACAGAAUACUAUUGGGAGCUUGCUGAACGGGAUGCAGUCACUGGAGUCUUGCGUGCGUGGUGUGGAAUCAAAACUCGAUGAAAUUUUGUUUGACUUGGCAAAGUCAAUUAGAUGGGUGUCACAAGUUACCGGGUGUAGAUCUUUUUAGCUCUACACUCUGGAUGAAAUUAGAACAAGGAGCUUGAAUCUUCAAACCGCUCGAUUCCAUCUUCGUGUCGGGCUAAUUAAGAACUCCUUGACAGAGUCAUUUGGGGCUUUAUUGUGAUAUCUUGGAUGAAGUCAGAACUUUGAUCGUGUAUGGUGAUCAAACAAGGCUUCCACAAGCUUUGACCAACUUUUGAUCACUACAACCAUGAGGAAAUGUUCACAUAUGCAAUACCUAAUUAUUAUAUCAAUUGUCAAGAGCCGAAGAUCUUGAACAUCUAUGUUAAAGGGAAUUUAAAAUUGAAAUGCUCUUGCUUGGCUCAUUCACAACUGGUGCCAUUUUGUUGGAUGGACUCUCAGAGAUUAUAUGUUCAGGGCUAUGUUUGAUCCGUAACCAAGUCACUAAUAAACGGGUUAUGUUUAAUAUGUAAUAUGACGCUUUAUUUGUAUUUUGUUAUAUUUUAUUUAUACACAAAUGUUUAAUAUGUAAUAUGACGCUUUAUUUGUAUUUUGUUAUAUUACGAGGGGUGUGGCGUCAUUGUGAGUUUAAA